CAUGUUAAGUGUGAAUUUUUCCAGAUGUGCAGGCAAAACUAUUUUAGGAAUACACAUCCUCAAUACUAAUGUUAAAAGGUCACAAAACAGGUGUUGUGUGCAAUACCUAUUAAACUCAUAGCUCAAUAAUGCCAUCAACUUCUACCCAAGCCGGACACCGUUUAUUUAAGGUGGGCGCCUCCUGCCAGCUAAGCCACACAUUAUUGAGCUUAGUAUGGAUAGCCAAGUGUGGGAUUUGAACCCACACAUGUAGAAAGACCUCAAGGCUACAAUCGACAGUGUAACCCCGACUGAGCUACCAUGCCACCAUUGGCCGAUUUCAAGAAGUGCCACUAUAAGCACAAUAGCGCUUGCAGGCUCCGUACCUACCCUGGGUGCUGCUGAGAUUCUCAGUUCUGCUGGACAAUCUGUGGACCUCAUGGGGAUGAUUGUCGGGUGAUGCUAUUACUUCUUAGGGAUGUCUUGCCCCACCAGAACGGAGGAUUUAGAAUUCUCAAGACCCCUCAGAUCUUGCUGCUGGGAUUCUCAGUUCUGCUGGACAACAUCUGGAUUGUACUAGUUACUACUUCUUAGAGGAUGGCCUUCUCUACCAGAAUGGAGGAUUUACAAUUCUUAAGACUCCUAAGAUGCUAUGGAUGAUGACACCUCUUUUUCCUUGGCGUCCUUCGAUGUUGUUCCAGCUACCGGGGAAAUGUUACAGAGCUACUCACAUGGAGAGGUAGUGAGAGAAAUAGCGUCUGCUCUCUGGUCAGAACUCCGUGAGACACUGAAAGGGAAACUUGGACAAACAUCGGAGCGAUUGGUAGGAUCCAAUCCAACCAAGAACUGUACACUCCAAAU